AUGAAUGAAGAAAAAAAAUGAAAAGAAGAAACUGUAAAGAGCAGAAGUUUAAAAGGUGACAAGGAAAAUUUGAAUGUGAAGGAAUCCCCUGUUCAUGCUUCAGCAGCCUCAUUUUACAGGAGCCACUGGACUGUACCAUAAUAACAAAAGCAAAAAUACAAACAAACUCUUGAAGACAAGUGCAGUGACCCAUGGUGCUUAUCCCAGCUACUUCAGUGAUUAGGAUCUGCAGGAUCAUAAUUCAAGAAAACAAAUCUUCUGAUCUAUGUUGAUUAAGAAAUUUAAUCCACACUGUGGACCGGCUGUAAAACUGAGACUAUGUGGAGGCGGGAAUAUUCAAGAAGUAAACUUGGGAAAGACGGGAAUGCAAGAAAGGAUGGAAAUAAACAGGAAAUAAAAAAUGAAAUGAACAUGACAAUCAGACUUUUGUUCAUGGACAACACCAGAUUCUUUGUCAAGGCUCCAUGAGUUUGGUAUUUCUUUUUUUUUUUCCUUUAUAAUCAAAGAAAGAAAAUUUAAGCUGGAGACGAAUGUAC